rnacentral:rRNA from 1 species
GUUUGAUCAUGGCUCAGAUUGAACGCUGGCGGCAGGCCUAACACAUGCAAGUCGAGCGGAUGAAAGGGGCUUGCUCCUGGAUUCAGCGGCGGACGGGGUGAGUAAUGCGCAGGAAUCUACCUAGUAGUGGGGGAUAACGUUUCGAAAGGAACGCUAAUACCGCAUACGUUCUGAGGAAGAAAGCAGGGGAUCGUAAGACCUUGCGCUAUUAGAUGAGCUUGCGUCCGAUUAGCUAGUUGGUGGGGUAAAGGCCUACCAAGGCGACGAUCGGUAACUGGUCUGAGAGGAUGAUCAGUCACACUGGAACUGAGACACGGUCCAGACUCCUACGUGAGGCAGCAGUGGGGAAUAUUGGACAAUGGGGGCAACCCUGAUCCAGCCAUGCCGCGUGUGUGAAGAAGGCCUCGG